AUUGAACGCUGGCGGCAGGCCUAACACAUGCAAGUCGAGCGAGCGGCGGACGGGUGAGUAAUGUAUGGGAAACUGCCCGAUAGAGGGGGAUAACUACUGGAAACGGUGGCUAAUACCGCAUACUAUCAGAUGAGCCCAUAUGGGAUUAGCUAGGCGGUGGGGUAAAGGCUCACCUAGGCGACGAUCUCUAGCUGGUCUGAGAGGAUGACCAGCCAAACUGGAACGGAGACACUGUCCAGACUCCUACGGGAGGCAGCAGUGGGGAAUAUUGUAAAAUGGGCGCAAGCCUGAUGCAUCCAUGCCGCGUGUAUGAAGAAGGCCUUAGGGUUGUAAAGUACGUUCAGCGAGGAGGCGUUACCCGCAGAAGAAGCACCGGCUAACUCCGUGCCAGGAGCCGCGGUAAUUC
rnacentral:rRNA from 1 species